UAAAGUUUAACUUUUUAAAGUGGUAUUUUUUUGUGUAUUAUGUUAUCACAGCAGAAUUUAUUUUCAUUUUCCAUCCAUCUCCUGUAACUAUAACAUCUGAACUUCCAUAUCACAAGCUCUCUGCUACUGAACGCUUUAUUUCCUAGAUUUUCUUUCUCUUCUGUACACAUCUGCAAACCUUGAGAUCAGUCUUCUCUAAGCAAUUCCAGAUGUCUCUACCUGCAGCUCUACAGAUCACCAGAGAUUAAAAUGGGGAUUCAGGGCAGAGGGAAAACCCUGGCUACAAGGCAAGAUGUCCAGAUUAUACUCAUAAGUCUGUAAAACUUUUUGGGCAUACUUGAAGAGGCAAAUUUCUAUUUGCAAAACUGUUAGAAGAAAUCAGAUACUUCAGAUGACAAGAAUGACAAAGAGAAGAAUCACUUCUGUCAGAUUAUUACAUAGAAAGAAUAUCUUGAAGCCCAAAGAAUAAGAGAGGCAAUGGAAUUUGUGAAUAUGGAAGUAAUUUUUAAAAAAUGAAAAAUUAUGAAUACUGCUUGGUAUUUCACAUAACAGUUGUCUCUACCUUCAAGAACAGAUCUUGGGUUCAAAUAUUGCAGAGCAUGGAAGUGCCUACCUCUGUCUUAUCAAGUGCUGGAAUGGUGCAGGAUUUCAGGCACAUCUUCUAUUGUAUCAUAACUAUCAUGAGUGGGACUAUUCCAGCAUGAGGGGCCAAACAGUUCCCAGACCUGCAACACGUGAGAGACCUCAUGGACAAGUGGAAACGCUCCAGUUCUGCCGGGGAGGCAGGAAGCAGGACUGCUGAAGAAGCAGGUUAGCAAGGUUUGCACAAGGCUGUGUCAAAGCUUACAGCACUCAGAGCUUGGCUGAGGGCAGGUAGGACUGCAAACGAUUACUGUGUGAGGUGUUGGCCCUGCUGCAGGCCACGUUCUUGAAAGUGAGACACAGUAGAGUCUAAAAAAAUACAUGUCAAAACUUUCAUGAGAUCUAGUCUGUGAUCAUGAAAACAAAAAGUGAAGAAUUAGCUGAAUGCCAGUGUUAAAAAGUCAUUGACUACCUGUUGAAACACAAUUGCAUUUGGUAUUUUUUGGUAUUUUUUUAUUUAUAUUUUAGGGUGUUGAGUAUCUGCUCUUUUGAAAAAAAUAUGUAUCAGUUGCGUGAUAGCACUUCUGAAGGUUUCAACAUUAAGAACUUCAGAAAUUUCUUUUGAGUGUUUUUUUUUUCAGAUUCUGAACGAGUUGAACUGGUGCUUUUACUGUGAUACCUUUGAACAACACUGUCAACCUCUUUUUUCUCCUUUAGUGAGGCUGGGGUUCUUUUGUAAGCAGUGAGUGUUGUAAUGUGCUGGAGGUUAUGUUAUGAUAUAACAUUCAUGUAAAUCAGCAUACACAUGGAAAAACUCAAGACUAGCUCCAGGGCUGGGGAAACUUGGAUAUACAAUACAAAGUCUUUUGAAUAGGAAACUACAAUUUUAAAAUCCUGUCAUUAAGAAGUCCUCACUAGUGCUUGACAGAAUCAAAAACCUUCUCUAUUUGGGGGGUAAAGAGGUUUUUUAACCUCUCAUUUUGUAACUCUGAAGACAGAGUGUUAUCAGUAUCUGAGGUGGAAUAAAGGCAGUGGGUCACUGCUAUCCCUGCCCCGCACAUACACACUCUUGAAAAGUGGCAAGAGGAGAACUAUCAUUGAUAUCCAAGAUUGCCUGGACACACAACUAGGCUGGACACACAGCAUCCUCAAAAUUGUUUCCUGAAAAAGCUUUCUGCUUUUUUUGUUUACUAAAGUUCAAGUAAAUCUAACCAGCAAUUUUUACCCCAAUGGAUCUGGAAAAUUCUGCUGAGAGGUUAUCCAAAUCAGCAUGUAAUGAAUUAUAAUAAAACUAAAUCACAGAUUUUAACUGAUAUAAAUAACAAACAUCAGUUUGUUAUCAUCAUAGAUAAUUUUUAACUUGUGUCACAAAACUAUCUCAUGAUUGCAAGGUCUGCUUUACAAUAGGUGUAGUGUCCUGACUUGCUGAUAUCUGGUACACUGUGGAAAUAUACUGCUUGUGCUGAAUUUGACAUGCAAUUACAACAUCAUCAUGAGCUGAACACAUAGACUGCUGGAAGACUGUAGUAUUUUAUUCUGAUAACUGUACUAUUUUUUAAGUAACAAUCUUCACAGAAUUACAACUAAGGCAUACCUUUGAUUUAAAAAGUUGUAAAAAUGACUUUCCUCAUAACAUGAAUUAAUAAAGUUAUGCUGUUCUCUGUUGUGA